GUUGCAGAUAGAAGUAGAAGUGUUUGGCGUAAGCCUUCAUGGAGCUGCCAUUGGCACAGAUCUUGGUGGUAGUAGCCAAUAAUCGAAUGAGACCUUGGAGGACUGAAGUGCAGAAGGGUUUCGUGUGAACAGUGGUUGAUCACGAGUUAGUCGGUCCUAAGUUCAAUGCGAAAGCCGAAAAUUUUCAAGUAAAAAACGAUUUUGCACUCUAGAAGAUAUAGUCAUCUUCUAUGAUUCUGCGUUUUUAGUUUUCUCAAAUCUGCAAUAUUGUGGAUGCAACAGAUUUUCGUCCUUUGUGGGGGCGGAUGGAGGUGGGGCGAAAUUCUGAGAUAUACGUUUUAUAGUGACAUCUUAAAGGAGUGUGUGCACCAAAUUUGGUUACUCUAGCCUUAAUAGUCUCUGAGAUUUGUGGUUGCCUCAGAUUUUCGUCCUUUGCAGAGGCGGAAGGGGGUGUGGCGAAAUUUGGACAGGAAACGGUCAAGGUCCGAUAUCACAGGAGUGUGGAUACCAAAUUUGGUUGCUCUGGCUUUUAUAGGUUCUGAGAUCCUUGAACUCAUAUUUUGCAAUUGGCAAAACCGACCAUGAAACCUGUGUGUUAGAGUGAGACAGAGCGAGAAAGAGUGAAAUUGUUUUCGUGAUUCUGGCUGUAAUAAUUAUACGAUCUGGUUCAGAUUUUGCACUCUAGAAGAUAUAGUCAUCUUCUACGAUUCUGCGUUUUUAGUUUUCUCGUAUCGUCGAAAUUGUGGGAUGCCACAGAUUUUUCGCCCUUUGUGGGAGGCGGAAGUGGGCGGGGCAAAGUUUUGAAAUAUUUUUGGAGCAGUGACAUAUCACAGAAGUCUGGAUCCAAAACAUCGUUGCUCUAGCGUCUUAUAGUCUGUUGAGCAUUAGGCGCUGAAGGGGACGGGACAGACGGACAGACAGGACGGGACGGACAGACAGACAGGGCUCAAUCGACUCCGGCUAUUGAUGCUCGAUUCAAGAAUAAUAUAUACUUUAUAGGGUCGGAAACGAUUCCUUCUGGACGUUACACACAUCCACUUUUACCACAAAUCUAAUAUACCCCAAUACUCAUUUUGAGUAUCGGGUAUAAUUAGUGAGUAAUAUUGUCAAAUCUUUUAUGAUUUUUAAAUACUUGAAUAAUUUUGAACGAAAGGGAAUAUGGUUCCAAUUCCGUAACCUGUUGAGUAUCCGUUUGUUAUUAAAUAUGGGCCUCGUUCUCAUCUUGGCAACAGGAACGACUUCUCGAGAAGCCGUCGAGAGAUAUCGGAAGAGUUUUCUUUUCUUUUUUAUAGCCGUACUACCAUGGAAGUCUUUCGCAGAGAGAUAUGGUAGAUGGGCUAGAAGAACAUGACAUAUACUGUUGUGUCGAUAUUUUCUCCUCGCACCUUGAAAAUUUAUGGAGGGGACACGCAAACUUCUCAACAGGCCGUACCAAUAUCCGCAGCUGGUCUCCAAGGGGAAGAGUCUCUAGUCAAUAGAAUAAUGUAGGUAAGGGAAGUCGGCAAAUUAGAUCCGUUACUUCGGGAUAAGGAUUGUCUCUGAAGAUUGAGAUAGUCGGGCUUGAUUGGGAAACAAUAACAUGGUUUAUGUGCUCGUUCUGGGUAAAUAGAAUUUCUAUCAUUUAUGGUAGUUACUUGUUCCCCGGAUAGUUUAGUUACGUAGCCAAUUGUGGAACUUUCUUGCUAAAAUUUUUAAGAAUACUAAUUGGAUUAAACCAGUUAGUUCUUAUUAAUUAUAACGAUUAUCAAUAAACAAUCAAUUCAGAACUGGCACGGACUUGGGGAAUUCGACUGUCUAAUUAAAAUAAAGCAUUGUGAUGGCCCUAGCGGGUGUUGACACAAUGUGAUUUCUGCCCAGUGCUCUGAAUGUCAAAGUGAAGAAAUUCAAGUAAGCGCGGGUCAACGGCGGGUGUAACUUUGACUCUCUUAAGGAAGAUAUGGAUCUGAAUAACUGCGUAUAAGGGGAUUUAUUCCAUAAUCGUAAUUCGUUAAUCGUAAUGGAAUCCAAAAUCCAAAAACUGUCAGGAGU
rnacentral:ncRNA from 1 species